AAGGCCAUUGCAGUGGAGGCAGCACCACAUAGAGUGACUUGUAACAGCAUUUGCCCCUGUAUAAUGGAUACAAACUUUGUUACACCUGUACUAAUUUCCCGGCAAGAGAAAUCUGGCGAAAGUCGUGAAAAGUGUCUGGAGAGACUUGCAAAAUGGAAUCCUACAAAUAAGAAUACUACACCUGCUCAGGUUGCUGAAUUCGUGAUUUUCCUUUGCUCACCAGCGGCAGACAACAUGACAGGGACAGCUAUUCCGGUGGAUGGAGGAUAUACAGCAAAGUAGACGGGGCAUCGUAUCAGAUGUCCAUGUCUAUUGUUUGUUUUUCUUAUUUUUCUCUACUUUCUUCUCCGGUAUAUUUGUGCCCGCGAGUGUUCUAUAUCUACUCAUCUAGUUUAGAUGAACCUUUUAAGGGUUAAAAGGCAUGUUUUGUGUUGUGCGGAACAAAGAUCCUUUUCAGUGAACAAGCAUGCACGUGGUGGGAUGACUGUUAUAGUUUAUAAAGUCGUAACUUUUGUUGAUUUUGUUGAUGAAAUUCUUUGAAACUCGGAAUAUUAAUAUAAAUUAGUAGGGAUGAUAUGGCCAAAUAAGUAUGAUCCCACGCGCAUGUGCGUGCCCUUCGCUCUGAUUAGCUGAAGGAAAAAUCGUAAUAACUUACCUGCUUUUUGACAAAAUACUUUGAACUUAAAAUAAAGGUAUAUAUUGUAAAGAUUCUGCCAUAUGUAAUAUGCGAAAAAAAAUUUAAAAAUUUGUAUGGAUGUGUUUUGCAAAUGGAUUGGCUGAAACUUUAGUUUUCAAUAAAACAGGAGGAAACUAAGAAUAUUGAUAGGUAUAAGGAAUUCCUAUAUUAUGGUGCUAUCAAAAUUGAUUACAGGAACAUGCAUGCACCGGGAUUCAAUUCUGAUUGGCUAAUACUUAAUAGGCAGUAUCUAUCUUUAAUACUAGUACGUUGAAAUUUAAGAAAAGAUAUACAUUAUACGGCACUAUAAAAACAUACAUCUGAGAUUUUUUUUUAAAAAAGGUGCAAUCUGUCUUAGUUUAUUGCUAAAAAUGAUUUUGCCGAUUGUAAUAAAACUUUUAGGGAAGAGGCACCGAAAGGGAGAAGGAAGCGUUUGGGGGAACAUAUGUAAAUGUCUCCGUUAAAAUUAGCACUAGUUUACUCUUAUUGCUAACAAACAAUAACUAUUCUAAGCAUCCAAUUUAUACCAUAUAUUCAUUGUAUGUUUAACAUAUAUGAUACAGAGCGUGUACAUCUUUGAUAGA